rnacentral:rRNA from 1 species
AACGAACGCUGGCGGCAUGCCUAACACAUGCAAGUCGAACGAAGCCUUCGGGCUUAGUGGCGCACGGGUGCGUAACGCGUGGGAAUCUGCCCUGGGGUUCGGAAUAACAGUUAGAAAUGACUGCUAAUACCGGAUGAUGUCUUCGGACCAAAGAUUUAUCGCCCAAGGAUGAGCCCGCGUAGGAUUAGGCAGUUGGUGGGGUAAUGGCCCACCAAGCCGACGAUCCUUAGCUGGUCUGAGAGGAUGAUCAGCCACACUGGGACUGAGACACGGCCCAGACUCCUACGGGAGGCAGCAGUGGGGAAUAUUGGACAAUGGGCGAAAGCCUGAUCCAGCAAUGCCGCGUGAGUGAUGAAGGCCUUAGGGUUGUAAAGCUCUUUUACCAGGGAUGAUAAUGACAGUACCUGGAGAAUAAGCUCCGGCUAACUCCGUGCCAGCCGCCGCUGUAA